CAGUCGCCACGGUAAUACGUAGGUGGCAAGCGUUGUCCGGAAUUAUUGGGCGUAAGGGGUUCGCAGGCGGUUUCUUAAGUCUGAUGUGAAAGCCCCCGGCUCAACCGGGGAGGGUCAUUGGAAACUGGGAAACUUGAGUGCAGAAGAGGAGAGUGGAAUUCCACGUGUAGCGGUGAAAUGCGUAGAGAUGUGGAGGAACACCAGUGGCGAAGGCGACUCUCUGGUCUGUAACUGACGCUGAGGAGCGAAAGCGUGGGGGGCGAACAGGAUUAGAUACCCGUGUAGUCCCUGUCUCUUAUAA
rnacentral:rRNA from 1 species